UACGGAGGGGGCGAGCGUUAUUCGGAAUUAUUGGGCGUAAAGGGCGCGUAGGCGGCUUGACAAGUCAAAGGUGAAAUCCCUCGGCUCAACUGAGGAACUGCCUUUGAAACUGUCUGGCUUGAGGCCGGGAGGGGGUAGCGGAAUUCCCAGUGUAGCGGUGAAAUGCGUAGAUAUUGGGAGGAACACCAGUGGCGAAGGCGGCUCACUGGACCGGUACUGACGCUGAGGCGCGAAAGCGUGGGGAGCGAACAGG
rnacentral:rRNA from 1 species